rnacentral:rRNA from 1 species
CAUGGCUCAGAUUGAACGCUAGCGGCAUGCUUAACACAUGCAAGUCGAACGGUAACAGGCCUAGCUUGCUAGGUGCUGACGAGUGGCGGACGGGUGAGUAACGCGUAGGAAUCUACCUCGUAGUGGGGGAUAACCUGGUGAAAACCAGGCUAAUACCGCAUGAGCCCUAAGGGGGAAAGCAGGGGACCGUAAGGCCUUGUGCUAUGAGAUGAGCCUGCGUCAGAUUAGCUAGUUGGUGGGGUAAAGGCCUACCAAGGCGAUGAUCUGUAGCUGGUCUGAGAGGACGACCAGCCACACUGGGACUGAGACACGGCCCAGACUCCUACGGGAGGCAGCAGUGGGGAAUAUUGGACAAUGGGCGCAAGCCUGAUCCAGCAAUGCCGCGUGUGUGAAGAAGGCCUGCGGUUGUAAAGCACUUUCAGUGGGGAGGAAGGCCUCAAUGCUAAUAGUAUUGAGGAUUGACGUUACCACAGAAG